rnacentral:rRNA from 1 species
AUUGAACGCUGGCAGCAGGCUUAACACAUGCAAGUCGAGCGAGCGGCGGACGGGGGAGUAAUGUCUGGGAAACUGCCUGAUGGAGGGGGAUAACUACUGGAAACGGUAGCUAAUACCGCUUACCAUCAGAUGUGCCCAGAUGGGAUUAGCUAGUAGGUGGGGUAAUGGCUCACCUAGGCGACGAUCCCUAGCUGGUCUGAGAGGAUGACCAGCAACACUGGAACUGAGACACGGUCCAGAAUCCUAAGGGGGGCAGCAGUGGGGAAUAUGGAACAAGGGGGGCAAGCCUGAUGCAGCCAUGCCGCGUGUAUGAAGAAGGCAUUCGGGUUGUAAAGUACUUUCAGCGGGGAGGAGUUACCCGCAGAAGAAGCACCGGCUAACGCCGUGCCAGCCGCCGCGGUAAUAC